GGCCAUACCACCCUGAAUGCUCCUGAUCUUGUCUGAUCUCAGAAGCUAAGCAGGGUUAGGCCUGUCUAGUACUUGGAUGGGGGGAAAAGGUUAGCCACAUGAGAACAAUUAAGUUAGAAAGCCU
rnacentral:rRNA from 1 species